rnacentral:tRNA from 1 species
CAAGUUAAAGCUAAUCAAAAGCGUUUUAGUUACAUUAAGAAGAAAAUUGUAGAAUCAAUUUAAUUUGA